rnacentral:rRNA from 1 species
UACGUAGGGGGCGAGCGUUGUCCGGAAUCACUGGGCGUAAAGGGUGCGUAGGCGGACUGUUAAGUCUGAUGUGAAAGACCAUGGCUUAACCAAGGGAAUGCAUUGGAAACUGGGAGUCUGAGAGUGCAGGAGAGGGAAGCGGAAUUCCCGGUGUAGCGGUGGAAUGCGUAGAUAUCGGGAGGAACACCAGUGGCGAAGGCGGCUUCCUGGACUGUAACUGACGCUGAGGCACGAAAGCUGGGGGA